UACGUAGGGCGCGAGCGUUGUCCGGAUUUAUUGGGCGUAAAGAGCUCGUAGGCGGCUUGUCGCGUCGAAUGUGAAAUCCUGCGGCUCAACUGCAGGCUUGCAUUCGAUACGGGCAGGCUAGAGUUCGGUAGGGGAGACUGGAAUUCCUGGUGUAGCGGUGAAAUGCGCAGAUAUCAGGAGGAACACCGGUGGCGAAGGCGGCUCUGGGCCGAUGACUGACGCUGAGGUGCGAAAGCGUGGGGAGCAAACAGG
rnacentral:rRNA from 1 species